rnacentral:rRNA from 1 species
AGAGGGUGAUCCUGGCUCAGAACGAACGCUGGCGGCAUGCCUUAUACAUGCAAGUCGAACGAGAAAGUCACUUCGGUGGCGAGUACAGUGGCGCACGGGUGAGUAACGCGUAGAUGAUCUACCCUUCAGUCUGGGACAACUCUUGGAAACGGGAGCUAAUACCGGAUAAAACCUUCGGGUUGAAAGAUUUAUCGCUGGGGGAUGAGUCUGCGUACCAUUAGCUUGUUGGUGGGGUAACGGCCUACCAAGGCGACGAUGGUUAGCGGGUCUGAGAGGACGAUCCGCCACACUGGAACUGAGACACGGUCCAGACUCCUACGGGAGGCAGCAGUAGGGAAUAUUGCGCAAUGGGGGCAACCCUGACGCAGCAAUGCCGCGUGAGUGAAGAAGGCCUUCGGGUCGUAAAGCUCUUUUAUGGGGGAAGAUGAUGACGGUACCCCAUGAAUAAGCACCGGCUAACUACGUGCCAGCAGCCGCGGUAAUACGUAGGGUGCGAGCGUUGUUCGGAAUUACUGGGCGUAAAGGGCGUGCAGGCGGAUUGGCAAGCCGGAGGUGAAAGCCCGGGGCUCAACCCCGGAGGGUCUUUCGGAACUGCCAGUCUUGAGAGGGUCAGGGGCCAGCGGAAUUCCUGGUGUAGAGGUGAAAUUCGUAGAGAUCAGGAGGAACACCGGCGGCGAAAGCGGCUGGCUGGGGCCACUCUGACGCUGAGGCGCGAAAGCGUGGGGAGCAAACAGGAUUAGAUACCCUGGUAGUCCACGCCGUAAACGAUGGGCACUAAGCGUCCGACGGGUUCGACCCUGUUGGGUGCUGCAGUUUACGCGUUUAGUGCCCCGCCUGGGGAGUACGGUCGCAAGACUA